GAUGAACGCUAGCUACAGGCUUAACACAUGCAAGUCGAGGGGAAACGGCAUUGAGUGCUUGCACUCUUUGGACGUCGACCGGCGCACGGGUGAGUAACGCGUAUCCAACCUUCCCAUUACUGUGGGAUAACCUGCCGAAAGGCAGACUAAUACCGCAUAGUCUUCGAUGACGGCAUCAGAUUUGAAGUAAAGAUUUAUCGGUAAUGGAUGGGGAUGCGUCUGAUUAGCUUGUUGGCGGGGUAACGGCCCACCAAGGCUACGAUCAGUAGGGGUUCUGAGAGGAAGGUCCCCCACAUUGGAACUGAGACACGGUCCAAACUCCUACGGGAGGCAGCAGUGAGGAAUAUUGGUCAAUGGACGGAAGUCUGAAUCAGCCAAGUAGCGUGCAGGAUGACGGCCCUAUGGGUUGUAAACUGCUUUUGUAUGGGGAUAAAGUUAGGGACGUGUCCCUAUUUGCAGGUACCAUACGAAUAAGGACCGGCUAAUUCCGUG
rnacentral:rRNA from 1 species